GCCGGGAUAGCUCAGUGGUAGAGCAGCUGAUUCGUAAUCAGCAGGCCGUGGGUUCAAAUCCCAUUCCCGGCU
rnacentral:tRNA from 1 species